AUGUACGUGAAGAACGGGCUCACUCGGGUGGCCAUGGAGAUGGUGGCUCAGAUGCAGGAUGAGGACGGGGACUUCGACACAGAGACGAGCUACGUGUACAUCAAGAGGAAGCCAUUGAAGUCUUUGAAGACACAACAUUACAUCAUCAGCAUCAUAUCAGCAUCAUCGGAGGCCAUGGCAUCAACAUACGAGGAGACAGCCACGAGCGCCAAGGAGAGCCCGACGAUCGGCGCAGAAGCAGAGGCCCGGGCGAGCUCCAAGUCGAUGUACUCGAACGUGCAGUCGUCCUUGUCCCACAGAUCGGAGCUCGACGCCUCGGCCGCCGGUUCUCCGUUCCGCACCCCGCCCCCGCCGCCUUCCAGCGGAGCAUUGUCCACCGAGGAGCUAGCCAGCAAGGAGCUACUGGUGGCUGACGCGGCAGUGCUGAGGAUGAAACAGGAGGAGGAGGAGGCCGACGAUCAGAGCAUAGUGUUCCUGCCGAGUGCCGAGCACCUGCUGCACCGCGAGGAGCGCCGCCUCCAGCAUGUGACCGCGACGUGA
rnacentral:rRNA from 1 species